GCAUAUCAAUAAGCGGAGGAAAAGAAACUAACAAGGAUUCCCUUAGUAACGGCGAGUGAAGCGGGAAGAGCUCAAAUUUGAAAUCUUCAAGGUUUUACCUUGACGAAUUGUAGUUUAAAGAAGUGUUUUCUGCUGAAGUUUUGGUAAAAGUUCUUUGGAAUAGGACAUCAUAGAGGGUGAGAAUCCCGUAUUUGACCAUUAUUUUCAGCUUUGUGAUACACUCUCAAGGAGUCGGAUUGUUUGGGAAUGCAGUCCAAAAUGGGUGGUAAAUUUCAUCUAAAGCUAAAUAUUGGCGAGAGACCGAUAGCGAACAAGUACCGUGAGGGAAAGAUAAAAAGAACUUUGAAAAGAGAGUUAAACAGUACGUGAAAUUGUCAAAAGGGAAGCGUUUGACACCAGUGUUGUUUUCUCGAAAAUCAAUUAAAAAUGGCUCGAUUUUGUAUUGCUGAGACCUUAAAAGCUCACUGUACAUUUUUCGUGUCUUUUUUAAUGCACUUUUCGUUUAACAAGUCAACAUCAGUUUCUUUUGUUGUAAAAGGGUCAUUGGAAGGUGGCUUUCUUUUCGGAGAAAGUGUUUAUAGCCUUUGGCCUCUGCAAUCGGAGAGACUGAGGUCUGCAGCGUAGACUCUUCGGGGUUAGAUACAUUUGUGCUAAGUUAUAGCUUUUUAUAGACAACUUGUUGACUAUAAUUAGUCUUGUAGCUUACUCGCUUAUGCUAUUUUACCUACGCUUAGGAUGUUGACAAAAUGGUUUUAAACGACCCGUCUUGAAACACGGACC
rnacentral:rRNA from 1 species